rnacentral:tRNA from 1 species
AAAGGUAUAGCUCAGUGGUAGAACACAUGCUUAGUUAGCAUGCACAAGGUCCUGGGUUCAAUCCCCAGUACUUCCA